rnacentral:rRNA from 1 species
AUUGAACGCUGGCGGCAGGCCUAACACAUGCAAGUCGAACGAGUCGCGCGGGGGAGUAUUAUGUGGGGGAAACCGCCUGAUGGAGGGGGAUAACUACGGGAAGGGGUAGCUAAUCCCGCAUACUCUAAGAUGUGCCCAGAUGGGAUUAGCUAGUGGGUGGGGUAACGGCUCACCAAGGCGACGAUCCCUAGCUGGUCUGAGAGGAGGACCAGCCACACUGGAACUGAGACACGGUCCAGACUCCUACGGGAGGCAGCAGUGGGGAAUAUUGCACAAUGGGCGCAAGCCUGAUACAGCCAUGCCGCGUGUAUGAAGAAGGCCUUCGGGUUGUAAAGUACUUUCAGCGGGGAGGCGUUACCCGCAGAAGAAGCACCGGCUAACUCCGUGCCAGCAGCCGCGGUAAUAC